rnacentral:rRNA from 1 species
AGGAAUAUUGGUCAAUGGGCGAGAGCCUGAACCAGCCAAGUAGCGUGAAGGAUGACUGCCCUAUGGGUUGUAAACUUCUUUUAUAAAGGAAUAAAGUCGGGUAUGGAUACCCGUUUGCAUGUACUUUAUGAAUAAGGAUCGGCUAACUCCGUGCCAGCAGCCGCGGUAAUACGGAGGAUCCGAGCGUUAUCCGGAUUUAUUGGGUUUAAAGGGAGCGUAGAUGGAUGUUUAAGUCAGUUGUGAAAGUUUGCGGCUCAACCGUAAAAUUGCAGUUGAUACUGGAUAUCUUGAGUGCAGUUGAGGCAGGCGGAAUUCGUGGUGUAGCGGUGAAAUGCUUAGAUAUCACGAAGAACUCCGAUUGCGAAGGCAGCCUGCUAAGCUGCAACUGACAUUGAGGCUCGAAAGUGUGGGUAUCAAACAGGAUUAGAUACCCUGGUAGUCCACACAGUAAACGAUGAAUACUCGCUGUUUGCGAUAUACAGUAAGCGGCCAAGCGAAAGCGUUAAGUAUUCCACCUGGGGAGUACGCCGGCAACGGUGAAACUCAAAGGAAUUGACGGGGGCCCGCACAAGCGGAGGAACAUGUGGUUUAAUUCGAUGAUACGCGAGGAACCUUACCCGGGCUUGAAUUGCAACUGAAUGAUGUGGAGACAUGUCAGCCGCAAGGCAGUUGUGAAGGUGCUGCAUGGUUGUCGUCAGCUCGUGCCGUGAGGUGUCGGCUUAAGUGCCAUAACGAGCGCAACCCUUAUCGAUAGUUACCAUCAGGUUAUGCUGGGGACUCUGUCGAGACUGCCGUCGUAAGAUGUGAGGAAGGUGGGGAUGACGUCAAAUCAGCACGGCCCUUACGUCCGGGGCUACACACGUGUUACAAUGGGGGGUACAGAAGGCAGCUACACGGCGACGUGAUGCUAAUCCCUAAAGCCUCUCUCAGUUCGGAUUGGAGUCUGCAACCCGACUCCAUGAAGCUGGAUUCGCUAGUAAUCGCGCAUCAGCCACGGCGCGGUGAAUACGUUCCCG